AUGUCCGUCUUUAAAAUUCCUAAAAAGAUUUGCAAAGGAAUCAUAGAAGCGAUAUCGCAAUUCUAUUGGGGUGAUGAGGACAAUCAGAAAAGGAUGCACUGGAUGGUGUGGUGGAAGAUGUGUGUUCCAAAAGACUAAGGAGGAAUGGGUUUCCGUGAUAUACAUUGCUUUAACCUGGCUUUGUUAGCGAAACAAGCGUGGCGUCUCUUGGAUAAUCCUGCAUCGUUAUGUGCAACAAUCCUAAGAGCCAAGUAUUUCCCGGAGGGUGAUUUGAUGAGCGCGGUAUUAAAAAAGUGCUCCUCCUUUACUUGGCAAAGCAUUAUGGCAGGAGUGGAUUCUCUCAGGAAUGGCUAUAAAUGGAGAGUGGGAACAGGAGAAAAUAUUGACAUAUGGAGAGAUGCAUGGAUCCCAAAUUGUGCAGAUAGGAAAAUUUACACCUAG
rnacentral:rRNA from 1 species